AUUGAACGCUGGCGGCAUGCCUUACACAUGCAAGUCGAACGGCAGCACGGGUGCUUGCACCUGGUGGCGAGUGGCGAACGGGUGAGUAAUACAUCGGAACAUGUCCUGUAGUGGGGGAUAGCCCGGCGAAAGCCGGAUCAAUACCGCAUACGAUCUACGGAUGAAAGCGGGGGACCUUCGGGCCUCGCGCUAUAGGGUUGGCCGAUGGCUGAUUAGCUAGUUGGUGGGGUAAAGGCCUACCAAGGCGACGAUCAGUAGCUGGUCUGAGAGGACGACCAGCCACACUGGGACUGAGACACGGCCCAGACUCCUACGGGAGGCAGCAGUGGGGAAUUUUGGACAAUGGGCGAAAGCCUGACCCAGCAAUGCCGCGUGUGUGAAGAAGGCCUUCGGGUUGUAAAGCACUUUUGUCCGGAAAGAAAUCCUUGGCCCUAAUACGGUCGGGGGAUGACGGUACCGGAAGAAUAAGCACCGGCUAACUACGUG
rnacentral:rRNA from 1 species